GACAGAGGUGGCAAGCGUUGUUCGGAUUUACUGGGCGUAAAGAGUGCGUAGGUGGUGAGGUAAGACCUGUGGGAAAGACCUGGGCUUAACCCAGGAAGGUCGCAAGUGACUGCCUCGCUUGAGGACGGGAGAGGAGAGCGGAAUUCCCGGUGUAGCGGUGAAAUGCGUAGAGAUCGGGAGGAACAUCAGUGGCGAAGGCGGUCACCUGGCCUAAAACUGACGCUGAAGCUCGAAAGCGUGGGGAGCAAACAGG
rnacentral:rRNA from 1 species